rnacentral:rRNA from 1 species
GACAAAGUCCCAGCAGUAGCGGUCAUACUUUUGAAGAGCCGAGUGUUAUCCAUCCAUACCAGGCGUAAAAAGCGUUCGUUCU